CCUUCUUUCUGAUCUAUCUGGUCUUCCCUUG
rnacentral:piRNA from 1 species